rnacentral:rRNA from 1 species
AACGAACGCUGGCGGCAGGCCUAACACAUGCAAGUCGAACGCUCGUAGCAAUACGAGAGUGGCAGACGGGUGAGUAACACGUGGGAACCUUCCCUAUGGUUCGGAAUAGCUCAGGGAAACUUGGGGGUAAUACCGGAUAAGCCCUUCGGGGGAAAGGAUUUAUCGCCAUUGGAUGGGCCCGCGUCGGAUUAGCUAGUUGGUGAGGUAACGGCUCACCAAGGCAACGAUCCGUAGCUGGUCUGAGAGGAUGAUCAGCCACACUGGGACUGAGACACGGCCCAGACUCCUACGGGAGGCAGCAGGUGGGGAAUAUUGGACAAUGGGGCGCAAGCCUGAUCCAGCCAUGCCGCGUGAGUGACGAAGGUCUUCGAUUGUAAAACUCUUUUGGCGGGGACGAUAAUGACGGUACCCGCAG